GCGCUUAACACAUGCAAGUCGCACGAGAAAGGGGGCAACCCUGAGUAAAGUGGCGUACGGGUGAGUAACACGUGGAUCAUCUACCUUCUAGUGGGGAAUAACCCUGGGAAACCGGGGCUAAUACCGCAUAAGCCCGUGAGGGGAAAGCAGCAAUGCGCUGGAAGAGGAGUCCGCGGCUGAUUAGCUAGUUGGCGAGGUAAUGGCCCACCAAGGCGAAGAUCGGUAGCCGGCCUGAGAGGGCACACGGCCACACUGGCACUGAAACACGGGCCAG
rnacentral:rRNA from 1 species